rnacentral:rRNA from 1 species
GAAUAUUGGACAAUGGGCGAAAGCCUGAUCCAGCCAUGCCGCGUGCAGGAAGACGGCCCUCUGGGUUGUAAACUGCUUUUAUAUGGGAAGAAACCCCCCGACGUGUCGGGGGCUGACGGUACCGUACGAAUAAGCACCGGCUAACUCCGUGCCAGCAGCCGCGGUAAUACGGAGGGUGCAAGCGUUAUCCGGAUUUAUUGGGUUUAAAGGGUCCGUAGGCGGAAAAUUAAGUCAGUGGUGAAAUCCUGCAGCUCAACUGUAGAAUUGCCAUUGAAACUGAUUUUCUUGAAUAUGUACGAAGUGGGCGGAAUAUGACAUGUAGCGGUGAAAUGCUUAGAUAUGUCAUAGAACACCGAUUGCGAAGGCAGCUCACUAGUCCAUUAUUGACGCUGAGGGACGAAAGCGUGGGGAGCGAACAGG